rnacentral:lncRNA from 1 species
GUCAAUGUAAUAGUCUAGGUCAACUCUUGUAACUCUUUUUGAAGUAAUAAAGAUGAAAUAUUUGAGUAUUAUGUGAAUUAUAUGUGUUUAUUAUUUAAUUAUAAAUGUAUAAUUAAUAAAGAAUAAAAAUGAGCGUCAAAAUUAAAGUGUAAGAUAAUCCUGAUAUCUCUACAUAAAGUUGUAGAAUAUGUCUCAAGGUUUCCGUGCAUAUAAGGAACGCUGAAAUCCGAGUUAUNAACGAAGAAGCUAUGACCCGUCGAAGUUUCACGACAGAACCGGCACGAUACCGGGAAGCGUGAAUAGUGAAUUUACGAUAGAGUGAGAUUUAGCCUUAGUGAUCUAAACGAAAGUCGUAGAAUAUGUUAAACUAAGAACAUCGAUAAAAAGAACGCCCAAAUCUGACUUCGUAUGAAGAAGUUAUGAGAUUUUAAACAGACCAAUCCUGUCCCGGCUUGUUAAAAAUAUAACUUUAAAAAUAAAGUCAAAAUUAGCCGACGGAGUCUAAACGAAAGUUGUAGAGUACGUCUUCACCUACGCGUGGAUAUAAAGAACGUCAAAAACGGAGUUCGUAUGAACGAGUUACAAAUUAUAAUAGCAUAUUUACGUAUUAAAAUAAAGUAUAAAUCAUGUAUACGUACACAUAUAUAUACAUAUGUAUAUAUCAUUAGAAAGGUAUCGACGAUGCGGUCAUUAUAAGACUAAUGUUGAGUUCUUUCGACAUUAGUUUAGUACAAAUAUCAUUAAAUCCAUUUAUAAUAGUAUUAUAGAGGGGUGUUUAGUUGUUUAUAUAACUAAAAGGUCAUUAAGUAAUUAUGGAGGGUAGUUUUUGAAAAUUCAAUUAGUAUAAAUAAGAGCCUUGGGCUCUCAUAUUUCUUGCACCAUUCUCUUGAUUCAAGAGUCUUUCUCUCCUUAUCCCCCGAGCAUUUCGGUCCCUCGUGAUUCGACUUCUCUUUCUGUAGCUUAGUAUAGUAAGGUGAGCGCUGAAGCGCUGCACGAAUCUUUCUUAGAAAGAUUCAGCGACGAAGUUCUGCCCCUGCAGAGCCCGACUCCUAGCUAAAACCCCCUUGUAAGUAAGUUAUGCUUACCUUAUUUUAAUAUAGCUUAUAUUUAAAAUUAGUAUUGUUAUUAUGAACUUAUAAUAAAUAUUUGAGCUAUUAUUAUAACUUAUAUAAGUGUCGUUAUAAUAUUUUUUUUAACUACUCGCGGUACGGGGAAUCUGGUUUAAAGGGCCGCAUAGGGUUGUUGGAUUUCAGAAGUGCUAUAUGCCAAAAUGGUCCUGCCCUCCGGUGUUUUAUGUCUGGCCCCUGUCUGUACAUAGUGGUUGGAAAAUAUUGUUUAACGCUUAUAUAAUAAUAAUAAUACUAAGACUAAUAGUUGGUCACGGUAAAUAUUAGACUAAAAUUUAGCGAUAAUAAUGCUAGGUUUCGUCGAAGGAAAAUAGAAUCGUUAGAAGCAAGCGCUGCCCGAUUUUGGAAUCAUCACCUUAACAAGUGAGUGCAUAGUUACUUUCAACUUACACAUAGAUAUGAAGUAUUUUAUAUAAAUUACGUGCUAUGUGUGCAUAUUAUCUGAAUACUUGCUAUCUAUGCUAGAUGAACGUUGUUAUACAUGUUUUCAAUGAUUUAAACUGUAUAUGUAUUUUAUAUCUACGAAAAUGUUGGGGUAAAACAUGGGUAGAUGCAAUAGGUGAUGUGUGAUAAAAUGAUGAGAGGCCUCGAUGUUGAUGUUGUUGAUUCUGUCAUCUAGCGGAGUAUGGAUGACGACCACGGACUCUUCUAGACAGUCCAGUGGAACACUAGCAGGCUCGCAACCUGUAGGUGUUUGUGAACGAUAUGUUCACCGGUGUACUCCAUCCCCCACAUGGUUGCCUUUAGGACAUUUAUUGCUGAGGAAUCCCCUUAGCAGUAGUGUCCGUCCCGAUGAUGAUCCUUAGGCUAGGUCCCUUAUGAUAGGUGUUUAGGGACGUAAAGUGAGGAUAACGGGAACGGGUAAUCGGGUUAUUGUUGAUCGAUGAAAUUAAUAAACUUAUUUAUUGUGGGUUGAAAACCCUAUGUGCUCACCAGGCUCCCAAGCCUGACCCACUCAGUUUUAUGUAUUACAGGUAGUGGCGCAUGAGCAUAGGUGUGAUGUUUUGGACGAGGGAUUACGGAUAUAGGCCUGUAGAUAUGAAAUAAUGUAGUAAGGCUUAUAUUGUACUGUUUAUGCUUUUGAUCUGUACGAACAUGACAUCCCGAGUCUUUUAAUGAAAUACAUUUCUAUGGAAAUGCUUUUGAUAAAUCUUUAUCAUAUUUUUGUUUUGGGACAAAUUCCGCAACACUUUCAUUUAAAAUGUAACUCUGAUUUUUAAACAAAGCAUAAACAAACCGGUCUUUUCUGGCCGUGAUUUUGGGGAUGUCACAGUUGGUAUCAGAGCAUUAGUUUAAGCGAACUAGGAAUUUGUAGGAUUUCUAGACUUAAACUUAGAAUGCUAAGCGAUGAUUGUGAGGUGUGAGCACUAGCUUAUUUUAGGAAUUGUGCCUAAAAUGCUUUUAUGUGCUAAAUGCUUUGUGCAUAAUAUGCUGUUAAUUGUUCGGAUCUAUGGUCUGUUGCCGACCGGAUCUGGAAACCUUAUGUGUUUAGGAUUCUAAACGUACGACUACGAUAUUAGAACUAGCAUGUAAACGUUUCGGAGUGAUAAGGACGAUUUAAAACGUCUAUCCUAAAUAAAGAUCUAAAUUCACCUUAUUCGGUGUAUAGAUCAAGAUGGCAAGGACCCGUAGCGGAAACGUGAACGCAAAUGGAGGUAGGAACCAACCCCCAGUGGUUCAGCAAAUACCUGUUGUUGAAGAAGUUGCACCUGAGCCAGUCACCAUGGCUGGAGUUCAAGCCAUGAUUCAGGCUAUGCUAGCUGAACAAAGGGAAGAAAUGAGACGGAUGCUCCACGAAAAUAGGGACGAACCUACCAUACAUGUUGAACCGACGGAGCCAGUUCCCGAGCCAUCUGAGGAAGGGAACUAUAGCCGCCAAGUGAGUCAAGUAGGGACUCAAGGUGAGCAAAAGGAUGGCCCAGAAGGGAGAAACAACAAGGAUGGGCGGAUGUACAAAAAUUUCUUGGGUGCGAAACCACCAAGUCUCUCAGGAAGCCCAAAGCCUGUUGAGAUUAUGGACUGGAUCUCCGAGAUGGAGAUGGUGUUUGAGAGCUGCGACUGCAGCGAGAAGCAGAAGACUGUCUUCGCUGUGAGACAAUUGAAAACUGGAGUCUUGAGCUGGUGGAAGCUAUUGGCAGAUACAAUGCCACGGGGAGAAGCUCUGAAAAUGUCAUGGGAUGAGUUCUUGGAACAACUGAAGGCGCAGUACUGUUCAGAGAUAGACCUGAUUGAUCUGAACAAUGAGUUCCAAAAUUUGAAGAAGGGGAGAAUGAGCAUCGAUGACUAUGCUGCUGCAUUUACGGAAAAGAUGAAGUUGUUUCCAUACCUAGUGCCAACCGAACUUUCCAAAAUUGAGAAAUUCGCAAACGGACUGCCGGCUGACUUUGGCCCAACAGUCAAGAUGGCAACCACUCUGAAAUCAGCUGUUCGAGCAGCUAAGAACGUGGAGACCCAACAAAAGGAAAGAGGUCUGGAGAGGGCUGAGGUUGGUGAGAAACGGAAGUUCAAUGGAUCCUCGAAGUCCAACAAGAAGAGUAGAUUCUCGAAGUCUGGUUCGAGGGGAGGAGGAUCAGAAGCGAAGUGGUGUGACAAGUGCAAGAAGAAGCACUCUGGGAAGUGUGACGGAGGGGUCACUUGUUACAAGUGCGGAAAGCCUGGGCACUACGCCAAUGAAUGCACCCUCAACCAGAAAGCCUGUUAUGGGUGCAAUGAAGAAGGGCACAUUUUGAAGGACUGCCCGAAGAAGAAGGAGACAGGAAGACCCAACAUACCACCGAAGCCGAAGGCGAGAGCCUUCCAGAUGACGCUCGAGGCUGCAAAGGAGGCAGCAGACGUCGCUUCAGGUACCUUUCUUGUAAAUGGUUUGCCUGCAAAUAUACUAUUUGAUUCCGGAGCCAACUACUCCUUUGUGUCGCAUAAAUUUGGUGGGAAAUUAGCAUUGCCUGUAGAAAAACUAGAUAAUGCCCUGAUUGUAGAAGUUGCCAGUGGCAAAUUCGUACCUGUUAGUAAUCGUAUUAGGAACAUCGUCAUUGACCUAAACGGAAACGAAUUCCACGAAGAGCUAUUACCCAUAGAGUUAAACGGUUUCGACAUCGUUUUGGGUAUGGAUUGGCUUAGCGCCAACGAUGCUGAGAUUCAAUGCCGAAAGAAGAUAGUAAAGGUAAACCCACCCGGAAAAGAAUCAUUUAUGGUGUAUGGGGACAAACGCAGAGUGAAUUCUGGAAUCAUCUCCCUGAUGAAAGCCAGGAAAUGUUUGUCCAAAGGAUGUGCAUCAUACUUGGCAUUCGUAAUCGAUGCCAAGAAGGAGAAGAAAGAGGUGCAGAAUAUACCGGUUGUGUGUGAUUAUCCGGAAGUCUUUCCCGAAGAUCUUCCCGGAUUACCACCUGAUAGGCAAGUGGAGUUUCGUAUAGACUUGUUACCAGGAACAACACCGAUAGCAAAGGCACCUUACCGAUUAGCACCGACGGAGAUGAAGGAGCUCAUGACGCAACUUCAGGAGCUGUUGGACAACGGUUUUAUUCGACCUAGUUCAUCACCCUGGGGAGCUCCGGUGUUAUUCGUGAAGAAGAAGGACGGAAGUAUGAGAAUGUGUAUAGACUACCGAGAGCUGAAUAAGGCAACGGUGAAGAACAAGUAUCCAUUGCCGAGGAUUGAUGACCUAUUCGAUCAGCUGCAAGGUUCGAGCUACUUCUCAAAGAUCGAUCUUAGGUCAGGAUAUCAUCAGCUAAAGGUGAGAAAGCAGGAUAUUGAGAAGACUGCAUUCAGAACGAGAUAUGGACACUACGAGUUCUUGGUUAUGUCAUUCGGGCUAACCAAUGCUCCCGCAGCAUUCAUGGAUUUGAUGAAUAGGGUUUGUAAACCAUUCCUCGAUAAAUCCGUGAUAGUGUUCAUCGACGACAUUCUCAUCUACUCGAAAAGCCAAGAGGAGCAUGGCAAGCAUCUACGGGAAGUAUUAGAAGUGUUGAAGAAGGAGAAGCUUUUUGCAAAGUUCUCCAAAUGCGACUUUUGGAUACGGGAAGUCCAAUUCUUGGGUCAUGUUGUUAACCAGGAGGGAAUAAUGGUUGACCCCGCAAAGAUCGAGGCUGUAAUGAAGUGGGAACGUCCAAAGAGUCCCACGGAGAUUCGAAGCUUUCUAGGAUUAGCCGGAUAUUAUCGACGAUUUAUCCAAGGCUUUUCUUCGAUAGCUGCUCCAUUAACAGCUUUGACUCAUAAAGGAGCUACGUAUACGUGGAGUGAGAAACACGAUGAGGCAUUCGAGAAGCUAAAGAAGAAGUUAUGUGAAGCACCGAUACUUUCUCUACCCGAUGGAGUCGAAGAUUUCGCGGUUUAUAGUGACGCUUCUGGAGUCGGGUUGGGUUGUGUUCUGACCCAAAGAGAAAAGGUGAUAGCAUACGCAUCUCGACAAUUGAAAGAGCACGAAAAGAACUACCCCACUCAUGAUCUGGAGUUGGCAGCGGUAGUUUUUGCCUUAAAGAUAUGGAGGCAUUACCUCUACGGCACGAAGUGCAAGCUCUUCACUGAUCAUAAGAGUCUCCAGUAUCUCUUUAAUCAGAAGGAGUUGAACAUGAGGCAACGACGCUGGCUAGAACUUCUCAAGGACUACGACUGUGAGAUACUUUACCACCCAGGUAAAGCAAAUAUUGUUGCUGAUGCUCUCAGUCGGAAAGUCAAUCUGGAAAGGAAAAGGCCAAGAGCGUUAAGAAUUGAAGUCGUCUCGACGAUUGUGGAAAGUAUCAGGAAAGCUCAAGAAGAAGCUUUAGAGAAAAAUGACCGAAAGGAAGAACGUUUGGGAAGAACGUUAGUGUUUGGUACAAACAGUCGAGGACUGAAGGUAUUCCAAGAUCGAAUUUGGGUACCUAAGACGGGAGGAAUAAGAGAUCUUCUGAUGGAAGAAGCACACAAGACCAUGUACUCGAUUCAUCCCGGUAGCACUAAAAUGUAUAGGGACCUAAAACCCUACUACUGGUGGCCGACGAUGAAGCUCGAUGUUGCGAAGUAUGUGGCCGAGUGCGUAACAUGUGCGAGGGUUAAGGCACAACAUCAGAAACCGUAUGGGAGUUUAGAACCUUUACCUGUACCCAUGGGUAAAUGGGAAGACAUCACCAUGGAUUUUGUGACUAAACUGCCCAGGACGAAGAACGGUCACGACAUGAUUUGGGUAGUCGUGGAUCGUUUCACCAAGAGUGCACACUUCAUAGCAGCCAACGAGAAGUGGUCUAUGGAUAAGCUCGCAAAUGCUUACGUGAAGGAAAUUGUAAGACUUCACGGUGUCCCUCUUACGAUUGUAUCAGAUCGUGAUAGUCGUUUCACGUCAAGGUUUUGGAGGAGUCUACAAGAGGAGUUAGGUACAAAGUUGUGUUUGAGUACUGCUUAUCAUCCGCAAACUGAUGGUCAGAGCGAAAGAACGAUUCAGACGCUGGAAGAUAUGCUGAGAGCAUGUACCCUCGAAUUCCAAGGGAAUUGGGACGAGCACUUACCUCUGGUAGAAUUUUCCUACAACAAUAGUUUUCACUCGAGCAUCAAGAUGGCUCCUUAUCAAGCCUUGUAUGGGCAGAAGUGUCGUACGCCGUCUUGUUGGCUUGAAGCCGGAGAGAAGCAGUUUAUGGGCCCCGAGAUAGUCCAUGAGACUGCUGAGAAGUUGAAGGUGAUUAGGGAAAGGAUGUUAGCAGCCCAGGAUCGUCAGAAGAGCUAUGCUGACAAGAAAAGACGACCGAUAACUUUCGAAGUUGGGGAUUCCGUUUUGCUUAAAGUCUCACCGUGGAAGGGACUUAUACGAUUUGGGAAACGAGGAAAGUUGAGUCCAAGGUUUAUUGGACCGUUCAAAGUUCUUCAGAAGAUAGGGAACCAAGCUUACAAGCUGGAAUUGCCCGAAGAACUCAAUGGUAUUCAUAACACCUUCCAUGUGUGUUAUUUGAGGAAAUUCACGGGAGAUGUUCCCGACAUAAUUCCAAUCUCAGAGUUAAGGAUGGAUGAAAAUAAAAGGUUGAUCGAAGAGCCUGAGGCAAUUGUUGACCGUAAGACUAAGAAGUUACGACGCAAGAUGGUCGACUUGGUGCUAGUCCGAUGGAAACAUUCGAAUGGGCCGAAUCUCACUUGGGAAACAGAGGAUGACAUGAUGAGUCGCUAUCCACAUCUGUUUGCUGAUGCAUGAUUCCGGGACGGAAUCAUCCUAAGGGGGAGAGAAUUGUAACGCCCGGGUUUCAGGGCUAAGCAUUUUUGUCAAUGUAAUAGUCUAGGUCAACUCUUGUAACUCUUUUUGAAGUAAUAAAGAUGAAAUAUUUGAGUAUUAUGUGAAUUAUAUGUGUUUAUUAUUUAAUUAUAAAUGUAUAAUUAAUAAAGAAUAAAAAUGAGCGUCAAAAUUAAAGUGUGAGAUAAUCCCGAUAUCUCUACAUAAAGUUGUAGAAUAUGUCUCAAGGUUUCCGUGCAUAUAAGGAACGCCGAAAUCCGAGUUAUAACGAAGAAGUUAUGACCCGUCGAAGUUUCACGACAGAACCGGCACGAUACCGGGAAGCGUGAAUAGUGAAUUUACG